GUGCUCGCUUCAGCAGCACAUAUACUAAAAUUGGAACAACACAGAGAAGAUUAGCAUGGCCCCUGUGCAAGGAAUGUCAGGACAUGGAGGAAGCUACAGUGCUGU
ensembl:snRNA U6 U6 spliceosomal RNA